rnacentral:rRNA from 1 species
ACAUGCAAGUCGAACGAUGAAGGGGGAGCUUGCUCCUCUGGAUUAGUGGCGAACGGGUGAGUAACACGUGAGCAAUCUGCCCCUGACUCUGGGAUAAGCGCUGGAAACGGCGUCUAAUACCGGAUACGAGCCGAGCAGGCAUCUGCAUCGGUUGGAAAGAACUUCGGUCAGGGAUGAGCUCGCGGCCUAUCAGCUUGUUGGUGAGGUAAUGGCUCACCAAGGCGACGACGGGUAGCCGGCCUGAGAGGGUGACCGGCCACACUGGGACUGAGACACGGCCCAGACUCCUACGGGAGGCAGCAGUGGGGAAUAUUGCACAAUGGGCGGAAGCCUGAUGCAGCAACGCCGCGUGAGGGACGAAGGCCUUCGGGUUGUAAACCUCUUUUAGCAGGGAAGAAGCGAGAGUGACGGUACCUGCAGAAAAAGCACCGGCUAACUACGUGCCAGCAGCCGCGGUAAUACGUAGGGUGCGAGCGUUAUCCGGAAUUAUUGGGCGUAAAGAGCUCGUAGGCGGUCUGUCGCGUCUGCUGUGAAAACCCGAGGCUCAACCUCGGGCUUGCAGUGGGUACGGGCAGACUAGAGUGCGGUAGGGGAGAUUGGAAUUCCUGGUGUAGCGGUGGAAUGCGCAGAUAUCAGGAGGAACACCGAUGGCGAAGGCAGAUCUCUGGGCCGUUACUGACGCUGAGGAGCGAAAGCGUGGGGAGCAAACAGGCUUAGAUACCCUGGUAGUCCACGCCGUAAACGUUGGGAACUAGAUG